rnacentral:lncRNA from 1 species
UCUCUGAGAUGGAAACCAACUUCAAGGUCUGUCACCCUGUGCAGACCCUUCCCCCUAAAGUGUCAGGAGCUUCCUUCUGUGCUCUACCCCCUGCCAGGCGACUCUGCUCAUGCUUGAAGUUGACCAGCAGGUGGCACUGCUGUUCCUUCUCUGUCUGCCUGUGAGGGGGUCCCAAUCAUAACAAAAGGGACUUGAUUUUUUGAGGGAGGUAGAUAUAUUUGGGGAGGGGCCUGGCCCUCCCUCAGCCUCAGUGCUCAGCCUCCAACUCCUGGAGCAGAAGACAGAACUCCUGAGAUCCUUGCCCACAGAAUCUGUCCCGGGGGCUGGUGAACGUGGCUGCCAAGCUGACCCACAAUAAGGAUGUCAGAGACCUGUUUGUGGACCUUGUGGAGAAGUUUGUGGAACCCUGCCGCUCUGACCACUGGCCACUGAGUGACGUGAGGCUCUUCCUCAACCAGUAUUCAGCGUCUGUCCACUCCUUGGAUGGCUUCCGGCACCAGGCCCUCUGGGACCGCUACAUGGGCACCCUCCGUGGCUGCCUUCUGCGCCUUUAUCAUGAUUAAAGCCCCUUUCCUUCCUCCCUCCGACAUACCCCGAGAAUAAAGUUGCCAUAAGUUU